UUUAGGAAAAGCACCUUUAAAGCCUGACUGUGGCAUCUCAUGAGAGAAAGCUAAAUCCACGGUUACGGUGCACUUGCUGAUGCACCUUUGCAGCAUGCAGUGGCUAUUGAGAGGGAAAUUGCUCUGCUGCUCACAGGGCAACUGGGAAGCUUACGGACUCAUGGAACCCUGCAUCUCUGGAGCCUGUAGGUUUCUGAGGAAUGCAAGUUUUCCCAUGAUUGAUCUGACUAUGGGAACACACCAAAAUAACACAGAUGGCGCCUUAAUUUAUAAACAAGUUGGAAAAGCAGAGGGAACAGAAAGGCAGCACCUCCAGGGCAAGCUGCAGCAGCCUUUCAAGGAAGGAAGAGGCACUUUGCCCGGGAGAGAACCAAUCCAUUACUGGAAGGAGACGCCCUGACCCCAUUAGCUGGGCAGACGUGUGUUUGAACUGGAGACCUCUGAGCAUCCUCAAUCCAGGAUGAGCAGCUCAGGCCGCUGCAUCAGACAGGACGCAUCCUCAGCCAUCCUCCACGCGCUGCUCUGUACCACAGGGGCAAUGUGCAGCUGAGAGGUCGGUGUGCCCACAGUGUGAUUAAAAUGAGCGAGCAUAAAGGUAUGCAGAUAAAUAAAAAAGCCUGGGCAGUGUUACUUGUUUAAAAAUCAGCACUGGGAAGAAAUCCUGUAUGGUCUGUGAUUCUGAUAUUAGCAUGUUCUAAAAAAUUAGCCUGCAACAUGGAAUUUUUAAAAAGGAUUGCUCUGUUCUCAGCCCGUUUUAUUUGUGUUUGAUUCCAGAGCUCUGAGAAUACUGAAGCUGCAUAAUACGAGAGUUUGUAACCUUUAAAAGUGGAAAUGUCAUAACUUAGUCUUAGGUAGUUAAUUGUGG
ensembl:lncRNA